GGGUUGUGAGGUUAAGUGACUAAGCGUACACGGUGGAUGCCCUGGCAGUCAGAGGCGAUGAAGGACGUGCUAAUCUGCGAUAAGCGUCGGUAAGGUGAUAUGAACCGUUAUAACCGGCGAUUUCCGAAUGGGGAAACCCAGUGUGAUUCGUCACACUAUCAUUAACUGAAUCCAUAGGUUAAUGAGGCGAACCGGGGGAACUGAAACAUCUAAGUACCCCGAGGAAAAGAAAUCAACCGAGAUUCCCCCAGUAGCGGCGAGCGAACGGGGAGGAGCCCAGAGCCUGAAUCAGUGUGUGUGUUAGUGGAAGCGUCUGGAAAGGCGCGCGAUACAGGGUGACAGCCCCGUACACAAAAAUGCACAUGCUGUGAGCUCGAUGAGUAGGGCGGGACACGUGGUAUCCUGUCUGAAUAUGGGGGGACCAUCCUCCAAGGCUAAAUACUCCUGACUGACCGAUAGUGAACCAGUACCGUGAGGGAAAGGCGAAAAGAACCCCGGCGAGGGGAGUGAAAAAGAACCUGAAACCGUGUACGUACAAGCAGUGGGAGCACAGAGCAAUCUGUGUGACUGCGUACCUUUUGUAUAAUGGGUCAGCGACUUAUAUUCUGUAGCAAGGUUAACCGAAUAGGGGAGCCGAAGGGAAACCGAGUCUUAACUGGGCGUUAAGUUGCAGGGUAUAGACCCGAAACCCGGUGAUCUAGCCAUGGGCAGGUUGAAGGUUGGGUAACACUAACUGGAGGACCGAACCGACUAAUGUUGAAAAAUUAGCGGAUGACUUGUGGCUGGGGGUGAAAGGCCAAUCAAACCGGGAGAUAGCUGGUUCUCCCCGAAAGCUAUUUAGGUAGCGCCUCGUGAAUUCAUCUCCGGGGGUAGAGCACUGUUUCGGCAAGGGGGUCAUCCCGACUUACCAACCCGAUGCAAACUGCGAAUACCGGAGAAUGUUAUCACGGGAGACACACGGCGGGUGCUAACGUCCGUCGUGAAGAGGGAAACAACCCAGACCGCCAGCUAAGGUCCCAAAGUCAUGGUUAAGUGGGAAACGAUGUGGGAAGGCCCAGACAGCCAGGAUGUUGGCUUAGAAGCAGCCAUCAUUUAAAGAAAGCGUAAUAGCUCACUGGUCGAGUCGGCCUGCGCGGAAGAUGUAACGGGGCUAAACCAUGCACCGAAGCUGCGGCAGCGACACUAUGUGUUGUUGGGUAGGGGAGCGUUCUGUAAGCCUGUGAAGGUGUGCUGUGAGGCAUGCUGGAGGUAUCAGAAGUGCGAAUGCUGACAUAAGUAACGAUAAAGCGGGUGAAAAGCCCGCUCGCCGGAAGACCAAGGGUUCCUGUCCAACGUUAAUCGGGGCAGGGUGAGUCGACCCCUAAGGCGAGGCCGAAAGGCGUAGUCGAUGGGAAACAGGUUAAUAUUCCUGUACUUGGUGUUACUGCGAAGGGGGGACGGAGAAGGCUAUGUUGGCCGGGCGACGGUUGUCCCGGUUUAAGCGUGUAGGCUGGUUUUCCAGGCAAAUCCGGAAAAUCAAGGCUGAGGCGUGAUGACGAGGCACUACGGUGCUGAAGCAACAAAUGCCCUGCUUCCAGGAAAAGCCUCUAAGCAUCAGGUAACAUCAAAUCGUACCCCAAACCGACACAGGUGGUCAGGUAGAGAAUACCAAGGCGCUUGAGAGAACUCGGGUGAAGGAACUAGGCAAAAUGGUGCCGUAACUUCGGGAGAAGGCACGCUGAUAUGUAGGUGAAGCGACUUGCUCGUGGAGCUGAAAUCAGUCGAAGAUACCAGCUGGCUGCAACUGUUUAUUAAAAACACAGCACUGUGCAAACACGAAAGUGGACGUAUACGGUGUGACGCCUGCCCGGUGCCGGAAGGUUAAUUGAUGGGGUCAGCGCAAGCGAAGCUCUUGAUCGAAGCCCCGGUAAACGGCGGCCGUAACUAUAACGGUCCUAAGGUAGCGAAAUUCCUUGUCGGGUAAGUUCCGACCUGCACGAAUGGCGUAAUGAUGGCCAGGCUGUCUCCACCCGAGACUCAGUGAAAUUGAACUCGCUGUGAAGAUGCAGUGUACCCGCGGCAAGACGGAAAGACCCCGUGAACCUUUACUAUAGCUUGACACUGAACAUUGAGCCUUGAUGUGUAGGAUAGGUGGGAGGCUUUGAAGUGUGGACGCCAGUCUGCAUGGAGCCGACCUUGAAAUACCACCCUUUAAUGUUUGAUGUUCUAACGUUGACCCGUAAUCCGGGUUGCGGACAGUGUCUGGUGGGUAGUUUGACUGGGGCGGUCUCCUCCUAAAGAGUAACGGAGGAGCACGAAGGUUGGCUAAUCCUGGUCGGACAUCAGGAGGUUAGUGCAAUGGCAUAAGCCAGCUUGACUGCGAGCGUGACGGCGCGAGCAGGUGCGAAAGCAGGUCAUAGUGAUCCGGUGGUUCUGAAUGGAAGGGCCAUCGCUCAACGGAUAAAAGGUACUCCGGGGAUAACAGGCUGAUACCGCCCAAGAGUUCAUAUCGACGGCGGUGUUUGGCACCUCGAUGUCGGCUCAUCACAUCCUGGGGCUGAAGUAGGUCCCAAGGGUAUGGCUGUUCGCCAUUUAAAGUGGUACGCGAGCUGGGUUUAGAACGUCGUGAGACAGUUCGGUCCCUAUCUGCCGUGGGCGCUGGAGAACUGAGGGGGGCUGCUCCUAGUACGAGAGGACCGGAGUGGACGCAUCACUGGUGUUCGGGUUGUCAUGCCAAUGGCACUGCCCGGUAGCUAAAUGCGGAAGAGAUAAGUGCUGAAAGCAUCUAAGCACGAAACUUGCCCCGAGAUGAGUUCUCCCUGACUCCUUGAGAGUCCUGAAGGAACGUUGAAGACGACGACGUUGAUAGGCCGGGUGUGUAAGCGCAGCGAUGCGUUGAGCUAACCGGUACUAAUGAACCGUGAGGCUUAACCUUACAACGCCGAAGGUGUUU
rnacentral:rRNA from 1 species